AUACUUACCUGGCGUAGGGGCUACCCUGAUCAAGCAGGGGGUUCCCCCAGGGUGAGGCUCUUCCCUUGCACUUCGGCUUGAGCUGACCUCUGCGAUUACCCCAAAUGUGGGUAACUCGGGCGCGUAAUUUUUGGUAGUCGGGACUGCGUUCGCGCUGUCCCGGU